rnacentral:tRNA from 1 species
GUACCUGAAUACCUGCUAGCACAGUUUGCGGUACUGAGGGUCGCAGGUUCGACUCCUGCCGGGUGCGCCA